GAUGAACGCUGGCGGCGUGCCUAAUACAUGCGAGUCGAGCGAACAGACGAGGAGCUUGCUCCUCUGACGUUAGCGGCGGACGGGUGAGUAACACGUGGAUAACCUACCUAUAAGACUGGGAUAACUUCGGGAAACCGGAGCUAAUACCGGAUAAUAUAUUGAACCGCAUGGUUCAAUAGUGAAAGACGGUUUUGCUGUCACUUAUAGAUGGAUCCGCGCCGCAUUAGCUAGUUGGUAAGGUGACGGCUUACCAAGGCAACGAUGCGUAGCCGACCUGAGAGGGUGAUCGGCCACACUGGAACUGAGACACGGUCCAGACUCCUACGGGAGGCAGCAGUAGGGAAUCUUCCGCAAUGGGCGAAAGCUUGACGGAGCAACGCCGCGUGAGUGAUGAAGGUCUUCGGAUCGUAAAACUCUGUUAUUAGGGAAGAACAAAUGUGUAAGUAACUAUGCACGUCUUGACGGUACCUAAUCAGAAAGCCACGGCUAACUACGUG
rnacentral:rRNA from 1 species